CCGGCCUGGGAACAGUGGCGGAACCUGAGGCCGCUUGCCCUCCCGCCCCAUGGAGCGGCCCCCGGGGCUGCGGCCGGGCGCGGGCGGGCCCUGGGAGAUGCGGGAGCGGCUGGGCACCGGCGGCUUUGGGAACGUCUGCCUGUAUCAGCAUCGGGAACUUGAUGUCAAAAUAGCAAUUAAGUCAUGUCGCCUAGAACUAAGUACCAAAAACAGAGAACGGUGGUGCCAUGAAAUCCAGAUCAUGAAGAAGUUGAACCACACCAAUGUUGUGAAGGCCUGUGAUGUACCUGAGGAAUUGAAUUUUUUAAUUAAUGAUGUGCCUCUUCUAGCAAUGGAAUACUGUUCUGGAGGAGAUCUCCGAAAGUUACUCAACAAACCAGAAAAUUGCUGUGGACUUAAAGAAAGCCAGAUACUUUCUUUACUGAGUGAUAUCGGGUCUGGGAUCCGAUAUUUGCAUGAAAACAAAAUUAUACAUCGUGAUCUAAAACCUGAAAACAUAGUUCUUCAGGAUGUUGGUGGAAAGAUUAUGCAUAAAAUAAUUGAUCUGGGAUAUGCCAAAGAUGUUGAUCAAGGAAGUCUUUGUACAUCUUUUGUGGGAACACUGCAGUAUCUGGCCCCAGAACUCUUUGAGAAUAAACCUUACACAGCCACUGUUGAUUAUUGGAGCUUUGGGACCAUGGUAUUUGAAUGUAUUGCUGGAUAUAGGCCUUUUUUGCAUCAUCUGCAGCCAUUUACCUGGCAUGAGAAGAUUAAGAAGAAGGAUCCAAAGUGUAUAUUUGCAUGUGAAGAGAUGACAGGAGAAGUUCGGUUUAGUAGCCAUUUACCUCAACCAAAUAGCCUCUGUGGUUUAAUAGUAGAACCCAUGGAAAACUGGCUUCAGUUGAUGCUGAAUUGGGAUCCUCAGCAAAGAGGAGGACCUGUUGAUCUUACUUUGAAGCAGCCAAGAUGUUUUGUAUUAAUGGAUCACAUUCUGAAUUUGAAGAUAGUACACAUCCUAAAUAUGACUUCUGCAAAGAUAAUUUCUUUUUUGUUACCACCUGAUGAAAGUCUUCAUUCACUACAGUCUCGUAUUGAGCGUGAAACUGGAAUAAAUACUGGUUCUCAAGAGCUUCUUUCAGAGACAGGAAUUUCUCUGGAUCCUCGGAAACCAGCCUCUCAAUGUGUUCUAGAUGGAGUCAGAGGCUGUGAUAGCUAUAUGGUGUAUUUGUUCGAUAAAAGUAAGACUGUAUAUGAAGGACCAUUUGCUUCCAGAAGUUUAUCUGACUGUGUAAAUUAUAUUGUACGGGACAGCAAAAUACAGCUUCCAAUUAUACAGCUGCGUAAAGUAUGGGCUGAAGCAGUACACUAUGUGUCUGGGCUAAAAGAAGACUACAGCAGGCUCUUUCAGGGACAAAGAGCAGCAAUGUUAAGUCUUCUUAGAUACAAUGCUAACUUGACAAAAAUGAAGAACACUUUGAUCUCAGCAUCUCAGCAACUGAAAGCUAAAUUGGAGUUUUUCCACAAAAGCAUUCAGCUUGACUUGGAAAGAUACAGUGAGCAGAUGACUUACGGGAUAUCCUCAGAAAAAAUGUUAAAAGCAUGGAAGGAAAUGGAAGAAAAGGCUAUCCACUAUGCUGAGGUGGGUGUCAUUGGUUACCUAGAGGAUCAGAUCAUGUCCCUGCACACUGAAAUCAUGGAGCUGCAGAAGAGCCCUUAUGGAAGACGUCAGGCAGACUUAAUGGAAUCUCUGGAACAGCGUGCCAUUGAUCUGUAUAAGCAGUUAAAGCACAGACCUUCAGAUCACUCCUACAGUGACAGCACGGAAAUGGUGAAGAUCAUUGUACAUACUGUUCAGAGUCAGGACCGGGUUCUCAAGGAGCUGUUUGGUCAUCUGAGCAAGUUAUUGGGCUGUAAGCAGAAGAUUAUUGAUCUACUGCCCAAGGUGGAAAUGGCCCUCAGUAACAUCAAAGAAGCUGACAAUACUGUCAUGUUUAUGCAGGGAAAGAGACAGAAAGAAAUAUGGCAUCUCCUUAAAAUUGCCUGUACACAGAGUUCUGCCCGGUCCCUUGUAGUAUCCAGUCUAGAAGGUGCAGUAACCCCUCAGGCAUCAGCAUGGUUUCCCCCAACUUCAACAGAACGUGAACAUCCUCUGUCAUGCGUGGUAACUCCUCAAGAUGGCAUAAGAUGUGCCGUAUCCAGAGCCAGUGGCUCUUUGCUAGCUUGUGUAUUGUCGCUUUUUUCACAACUCAUGGAGGCCUCUACAGCAGCACCAGCAUUACCUGGAAACUCUGCCCAUAAUUAGUUUUGCAGAAGUGCAGCCCAUGUACAUCACUGCUCAGGAGGUCAUGCAGUUGCACAUUCUGUACUCUACUUUUAUGAGAGAAAAGCACAUGGCAGGAAGGAAAGCUGAUAUCAGGUAUUUUAUUUUUUUUAAAGAAAGCAAGUUACAGGGUAUAUCUUGGGGUCAUUAGAGAUUUGGCCCAAUGUAAUACAUCCACAGGUACAGCACAGGCUGUAAUUUAAUUGACUUUAGGAAAUAUUCCAUUAAUCAGAGUUGAAGCAAAUAAAAUUUAAUACAUUACUAACCUUUUUGCUUUUAUUAAAGGCAUUUAAGUUUGUUAGGGGAUGUUAAUGGUUGCAAAUGUCACCUCUAUACAGGUAAUUUCUAAUUUGAGGUUGUGGUUGUUAGCAAAAGCAUGUCAGACAGGAAUUUUAAAUAUGUUUUCCAGUAGGAAUAUGUUACAAAGUAAAAUUGAUUUCAAUUAUAAUGUACACAUAGUACUUAACCGCCAAGGAUUGGAAUCUGUUGGCCUCAAUUUUUCCAUCUUUUGAAUACAAGCUAAAUUUGAAUUUAGUUCUAAGCUUAUAGUGGCUACCGUCCAUGGCCUAGAACUGAUUUUAGUAAGUAGAGACAGAGGGUUGGUAAAAGGUAAAGGAUAGAGGCCAUAUGGCAGAGGGAAGUGGGGAAGGUGGAAACUAGAAUCAGGAUUUCCUUCAAAUACAAACUUCCAGGGAUACUUGUUGGUUCUGGGGAGCUCCCCUGUGAUGCUAUUUUCUUCUGCUGUCCUCAGGAAUCAGCUUGCUUGUUUUCUUUUUCAUUGCUGUCAUCUGUAGUUUCCAACCAGAGUUUUCACCUUCCCUCAUCUUUGCAGACCAGAUUGUACUUUUUUCUCUUCACCCCUACAUUUGUGUCUCUGAAAUAAGCAUACUGAUGUUUCUACUACUUAUAAGGAAAGGGAAAUAGUCCAGAAACAAAAAGAGAUUUUUCAUGUAUCUGUGCUAUAAUUAUCUCCCCCACCUCCCAGCAAGCAUUUUCCGUGCGGGAAAUGUUGUAUGGGAGUGCCGCUUUUGUUUCAGAGGAAAAUGAGAUUGGACUUCUAGUGGACUUCUUAUCAUUUGAGCUGGGCAGAGGCAACAGCUUGGAUUAACAAGUAGGACUCUGCCUCUGGGUGGGAGGGAGGAGGAAACUGAAGACUAUAGGAAUCAGCUGCACUGGGGUGCUGGCUUGCAGGGCUGCGGAAAGGGCAGUGAUCAUCCUGACCCUGAAGACCAGAAGGUAGAGGAAAUACAUAUGCCUCUUUGCUGCAUUUGAAAAGGCUUUGUUUUUUCAUCAUACAGGGAGACUAUAGCACAAAUGAUAGAAGAAAAUUUGAACUGUCUUGGCCAUUUAAGCACUAUUAUUCAUGAAGCAAAUGAGGAACAGGGCAAUAGUAUGAUGAAUCUUGAUUGGAGAUGGUUAACAGAAUGACUUGCUACUUAUUCACUGUCCCCAAAUCUAUGGAGCACGUGUUGGAAAUUUGUUUUUCUCCCAUGAAACCAUUCUUCAGAUACCAGCAAAUGGAAGAAAUGGCUAUGAUCAGAAAAUAUGCAUGAUUUUACAAGCACAGUAUUUUGACUUUAGGAAAUUUUAACAUCUGAACAGACAGAAUUUUAUGUCAGUGGACUUGUUUAAAUAUGAUAGCUACUUAAGCACAUCAUGGCAAUCCAUUUGUCUUCAAACGUGAUACAACACUUAACCGACUAAAAACAUCUUUUACUAUUUAACUUUUGGGCAUAAGGCCAAAAGUAAUAUCUGUAUUACUAUAUUGAAAACAAAACCUCAACUAACGUAUGUGUUCUAAGUAAAAGUUGUUUGCCUGUUUCUGUGGAAGAGACUACUUUCAAGUAAAACUAUACUUCAUGAAGAAUAAACUCUACCUCCUUGUGUUGCAUUCAGAAAUGCUCUUCCUGGCAACAUAAGGAGUUUAAUCCCACUGCACAUUUGACAGUAUCCCUUUCCUACAGAAGGAAUUGUGCAUCUGUACGUUUAAUAUGAGUUGAUUCUCACAAAUCUUGUUAAAUGUGCUAUGUAUAUAUGUAUUUAAGAUGUACAUUUAAUAAUAUCAAGAAGAUGCCUGUUAAUUUAUAAUGUGUUUGGAAACUUGUUUUCGACUUGUAAAAAUGGGUCAUUUGUUUAAUGCAUUUUUUAUGUCUUGUUCUACAAAUUUAUAAAGAUCUGCACUCCUUUAUCUGUAACUCCAAAAGUCUAAAAAGCUCUGAAAGCAAGGUCUUUCAAAAGCUUGGUAACAAAACUCAUUUGCUUGCAAAUCUAAUCUGAACUGACACUGAAUCUACUUAUCCCAUUUAGUGUGAAUAUUCAUUUACUUUGCUGUGGAAAUAUUAACGUAUUUGAUUAUUGCGGGGCGGGGGGGGACUGACACAGACCCUCCUGGGUGUUUAUGUAGUAUGAUAUAUAUACUGAAUUACCUUUCUAAAAUCUGAAAAUUUCAUAAUUCUGAAACAUCUUGCCCUAAGGGUUUCAGAUAAAGGACUGUGGAUCUAUCAUCUGUUAAAUAAGUAAUUUAGAAUGUAUUAUGUGUUUUUUAAAAAAUGUGAAAUGCUUUUAUAUUCUAGACAGUUUUCCACUUUGUGUAUUAAAUGAUUUUUAAAUUAC